UCCUAUAAACCUAAUGCAUAUUCACUAGACUUAAAGUGUGCAAAAAUUAUUUAAAAACACAAGGAAGGGGUUGUAUGCACCGGAGCUUGCCUGGAAUAAACACUACGUUAGUGUUUGUUAGGUGACGUCCACUUGACGACCAUCUUUUGUUCUGAUACUUGUUUCAUCUGUCCACCUUCAGUUUCGUUCAUCAGCACCAUCUUGUGGUCGACUCAGUUAUGGUUCUCCACAUCACGUGGUUAAUUCACGUACCUGAAUGAAAUGCACAUUAUGCACAUGAAUGCAUAUAGAUAGGAAUAUCGCAAACCUAAAUAGUGCUUGCAAUAGCGAAUUAAACACCUAGCGGCGAGGCGUUGAACAAUUUUAUACGAAAAUACUAGUUAUCGACGUAUGACUAAGCACAAUAAUUACGCUUCUCGAACCUAUCGCAAACAUCAUGAAACAACAAAUUAUACACAUUUAAUAUGAUUAGCCUAACACAACUUAUCAGCUAAUUAAUUAAAUUCUAAACUUAUCCCUCGUUUUAUAAAUUAUACUACAUCGCUCCCACAGAACUAUUUUAAUUUUAUUUUACUCCUCACAUGUUUUUCAUGUCAACAAUUACUCAAACAUUUCUUUAUCGUAAAUAUAUAUAUAUAUAUAUACGUCUAUAGAAGUGAUUAAAAUAUUUUAUCAUCACACAGGCCUACUCAUAUUCUACUCGGUACACUAAUUCCGCUAAUUGACCGAAAUAGCGAAAUAACUCACUGUAACUGAACCUGGCUCGAUAAUCGCAAGAACUGCGAAGUCGACGAGAGUUUCGUGACUUACGCAAUUUAUUGAGCACCUAAAUAAGCAGCGCACUAGCACAUUAAUUUAUGCACUGAUCGAACUAUUAUGAAUAAUUUAUCAGCUUACCGUUUCCACAGCUGACAUGAAUCCACGAGAUCGGUAGCGAUUUUCCGAUUCAGG
rnacentral:lncRNA from 1 species